rnacentral:rRNA from 1 species
UACGUAAGGAGCGAGCGUUGUCCGGAUUUACUGGGCGUAAAGGGCUCGUAGGUGGUUUCUUAGGUCUCACGUGAAAUUCCCUGGCUCAACCAGGGAGGGUCGUGGGAAACCGAGAGGCUAGAGGGCAGGAGAGGAGAGUGGAAUUCCCGGUGUAGCGGUGAAAUGCGUAGAGAUCGGGAGGAACACCAGUGGUGAAGACGGCUCUCUGGACUGUCCCUGACACUGAGGAGCGAAAGCCAGGGGAGCAAACCGGAUUAGAUACC